UCAUUAGGGCAGAAGCAAAACAAUGCAGGAAACAGUCCAUGAACUAGAAUUUAGAGUGUGGACAGGCUGCACAAUUCAAAAAGAAAAAAAAAGGGAAAAGGAAAAGAAUGGCUUCUGGAAUUAAAUGAGCAAGCCAGUGAAACGAUGCAUUAUGUGUUAUGCGUUCUAGUGAGCAGCUUCAGAUAAGUCACUAAAAGCUGGCUUCUUUUCUUUUAAAGCAAAGCCACAACCUUUUCACUCUUUUUCCCCCCUUUUAAAACACCACACCCCAACAAGAAUCUGCUAUUUUUAAAACAAAAUUACAAGUCCACAAACACUCUUAUUUCCCUUGUCCACCUUCACGCCACCACUGCCGCCUUCGACCAGCAGCGCCAGGUUUAUAUGAUUGAGAAGAGUUUUAGAAAAAACCAAGUGAAAAACAAGUAAAAAAGAGACCAAAUUGAAGAAAAUGAAAAAGUGGCUGUAAAUGCAAAAAUGGCCGGAACUUAAAUGCUGAAAAUCAGGGGCUGUUUUGGCAAAAUCUUAAUUUGAGAAGAUUGGGAAUCCAUUAAAAGAAAGACUUGGGGGCAAAAUCAUCAUCUUUGGCCAUUUUCAACACAAGUUUUGGAGACUAGGGUUCAUCAACUCAGACUUUCGAAGAGAAGAUUUGAAGACUUAGAUGAGAAAUUUCUUACUCUUUUACUCAUUUCUUCAAUUCCUUGUUAUGUAUUGAAUAUCUAAGUGUGUAGUACUCCAUUCCAUUACUUGAAUCUUGCUUAUGGAAA